ensembl:lncRNA
CUUUAAGUGCUUCCUAUUUGCAUAUACAGGUGUGCUUUGUGGUAUAGAUGGAUCACACAUAAGUUGUCUAGCCAGCGCUGUGUUGCCAGAUACCUUGCUGGUGGUCCAGGCUUUUAUUGUGAAAAUGAACAUCCUGGUACAAUUCUGAUAACCGUGCCCAGCUGAUCUUCCAUAAUAUUGCAUGAGGCUGCAGUUCCACCAACUGUGGACGAGAGCUCACCACUCUGCUGCCAGUGCCAGUAAUCUUCUGAAGUUCCGACUGCCUCGUGUUUGUUGCAAAAGCUCCUCCCCAUUCUGGCUCCUGCCUUGCCUCUGUGGAGCAGGACUUCAGAGCUACCUGAGAGGCUGCAUCCUGGGCUAUCGUCCUCAGGCUUGUGUUGGUUUGAAUCGCCUACAAUAAUAAUG